rnacentral:rRNA from 1 species
GACGAACGCUGGCGGCGUGCUUAACACAUGCAAGUCGAACGGAAAGGCCCUGCUUUUGUGGGGUGCUCGAGUGGCGAACGGGUGAGUAACACGUGAGUAACCUGCCCUUGACUUUGGGAUAACUUCAGGAAACUGGGGCUAAUACCGGAUAGGAGCUCCUGCUGCAUGGUGGGGGUUGGAAAGUUUCGGCGGUUGGGGAUGGACUCGCGGCUUAUCAGCUUGUUGGUGGGGUAGUGGCUGACCAAGGCUUUGACGGGUAGCCGGCCUGAGCGGGUGACCGGCCACAUUGGGACUGAGAUACGGACCAGCCUCCUACGGGAGGCAGCAGUGGGGAAUAUUGCACAAUGGGCGGAAGCCUGGUGCAGCAACGCCGCGUGCGGGAUGACGGCCUUCGGGUUGUAAACCGCUUUCGCCUGUGACGAAGCGUGAGUGACGGUAAUGGGUAAAGAAGCACCGGCUAACUACGUG